GUGCUGCAUGUCACUUAAAGAACUCAUUAAUACCAAGAGCAUGAACAAGGGAAUGCAAAUAACUGUUGUAGCAGGCGUGCCACAUUUUUCCAAUUCUUUCAAUCAACAUCUCUUUCCACCAAGGUUGAUAGAUAUUUAAGAUACAGGCUGCAUUCAUGAGACAAAGAACCUUCAAGAACACUUAACACAGAUCAUACAUGUGAUAGAAACACUUCUUGUGCAAUGGUGCAAUGAAAGCAACUCCUGAAACUGAAAAAUGAUAUUCUCAUAGUAAAGUAAUAAUUUUGAAUGUGCAUGCAAACCUGCCAAGCAUCCGAGAUGCUCCCUCAAUUUUUCGGUAAAAUAUCGACCAAUUUGGGCUGUUCUACUGAAUAUACAAGAUAUGAAUCUAAUAUUAAGGGUAGGAUAAAAUCAGAAAAUGUUGCUGAAUUAUGCAACAAUGAUCAUCUGAAUUUGGCAACUAUAGAUCACAUGGAAGACAAGGCCUGGUAGGGUUCAGGCUCUUGCAUAUUUCAGCACACCAGCUACUCUUACUGGAUCACCAUGAGAAACUUACAACCCUGGUGGUUGAUGCUAAAGGGCGUUUUAAUUACACUAAUAGAAUCUGCAGCUUGAAAAGUGCUUACCGAGCUUGGAAAGGAAAAGAUUGAAGUAGCAGAACAGGAAGGUUGGUCCCCUGUGCACUUCCCAGUCCUUUUUGGUCAGUAUAUUAGCAUAGAGAAAACAAUUCUGCUUUCUUUCCAGAUAAAUGCCAGUAGGUGACUUCUAGAUUUGUUAGACCUUAAGAAAAAAUAGUUAAACUGAUGAAAGGGAAAAGGGUAAUGGGUUGCUAGCUCCUUUAACUAAAGCAUCUACAAUUUCUCAAAGAGAAUACUGAAGGCCGACCGACAAUUCAUGCAGUGAAAACUAUAUUCAGUAGCAAGAAACUAAAUACCUACUGAAUUCUAAGGCGCUACAGUCCAAAGAUGAAUAUUAACCAUCAAUGUAACAAAUAAUCAGAUAGAAUUGAGCUUGUGAUGCCUGGGACUCUUUCAACUGUGCAAGCGCCUUUUCUUCCUCAAGAAGCUGAAACUCAUAGUAUUUAUAAUCUGGACAGCUUGAAUCAAACAAAAAUUUGAAAGGCGUAUCUCCAGGAUUCCUCUGGCGUGUGAUGUGCUCAAACUGCCUACCAUUUUUUGCAACAAAACUUGCUAAUUUGUCAGCAACUUUCCUCACUGCAGGAUCGCUUGGGGGAUAUGGUGCUGCAUGUCACUUAAAGAACUCAUUAAUACCAAGAGCAUGAACAAGGGAAUGCAAAUAACUGUUGUAGCAGGCGUGCCACAUUUUUCCAAUUCUUUCAAUCAACAUCUCUUUCCACCAAGGUUGAUAGAUAUUUAAGAUACAGGCUGCAUUCAUGAGACAAAGAACCUUCAAGAACACUUAACACAGAUCAUACAUGUGAUAGAAACACUUCUUGUGCAAUGGUGCAAUGAAAGCAACUCCUGAAACUGAAAAAUGAUAUUCUCAUAGUAAAGUAAUAAUUUUGAAUGUGCAUGCAAACCUGCCAAGCAUCAGAGAUGCUCCCUCAAUUUUUCGGUAAAAUAUCGACCAAUUUGGGCUGUUCUACUGAAUAUACAAGAUAUGAAUCUAAUAUUAAGGGUAGGAUAAAAUCAGAAAAUGUUGCUGAAUUAUGCAACAAUGAUCAUCUGAAUUUGGCAACUAUAGAUCACAUGGAAGACAAGGCCUGGUAGGGUUCAGGCUCUUGCAUAUUUCAGCACACCAGCUACUCUUACUGGAUCACCAUGAGAAACUUACAACCCUGGUGGUUGAUGCUAAAGGGCGUUUUAAUUACACUAAUAGAAUCUGCAGCUUGAAAAGUGCUUACCGAGCUUGGAAAGGAAAAGAUUGAAGUAGCAGAACAGGAAGGUUGGUCCCCUGUGCACUUCCCAGUCCUUUUUGGUCAGUAUAUUAGCAUAGAGAAAACAAUUCUGCUUUCUUUCCAGAUAAAUGCUAGUAGGUGACUUCAAGAUUUGUUAGACCUUAAGAAAAAUAGUUAAACUGAUGAAAGGGAAAAGGGUAAUGGGUUGCUAGCUCCUUUAACUAAAGCAUCUACAAUUUCUCAAAGAGAAUACUGAAGGCCGACCGACAAUUCAUGCAGUGAAAACUAUAUUCAGUAGCAAGAAACUAAAUACCUACUGAAUUCUAAGGCGCUACAGUCCAAAGAUGAAUAUUAACCAUCAAUGUAACAAAUAAUCAGAUAGAAUUGUAGACACAGAAUUAAAUUUUCCCAGGAAUAAUUGAUUUGAUGUUAUUGUAAAUAUUGACGGCCAUUUCUGAAAUACUGGUCAGCAAUCCCUUGCAUCAUUGAACAUAGAUGAGUUUUUAAUAAGCAUGAAAAAAGCAUAACCAGUAUCAAAGAAAACAUUAUAUAAGAACACAUCAUAUAUAAAAAGGAUGAAGCAUUAGCAUGGUCUCCUAUACAAAUCCUCUAUGCAAAAAGCAACUUAGAAGAAAGUCAGCUUCACAUGGAAUCCAUUUAAAGCCCGUAUCGCGUUCAGAGAGAGAGAAAGAGGAGAGAGGAAGGGAGGGGAAGGAGAAUAAUAUUUUUGUAGCUGCAUAUCUACAUCUAGCAUCACACCUACAAAGACUGAAUAAAUAAAACAAUAUAAAUUAUAAUAUACCAAUAGAAGAAGAACCAUUUAUGUAUCAAAAAAAGAUGGGAAAAGAAAUAUUUGACAAGCUUAAUCCAGAACAACCCCCACCCCCACUAUGGCAAAAAUAAAUUAAAAAAAAGGUAAUAGAGAAAGGUUUGUGAAUCAGCCACCUCAACCAAUUUACAUUUAUAAGCAUAUGCACGCACUCAUGCAAAAAUUGAAAGUAAUAGAAAAAGGCUUUUCAUCAAAUUGAAUAUAAGUAAAAGAACCAGUUGCAUAUUUUAUAUUGGUUCCCAUAUCUCUUUUCUUGUUUAGGGGCGUUUUGUGUACCAGCUUCCAUGUAAGAGUCAAUAUAAAAUAGUAGCACCUAAGGGAGCUUGACAUAUAAUAAAGCAAAAUAUUCUAAAAUUUCAUUACUUAAGAUAAAGUAAACAAUCAGCAAUUACCGCAUAUUAACAAUAAUGUAAAAAUACUAAAGCUUUCCUAACCCGCAAUUGCAGCAUAUAACAAACAUGAAAACAGGUAAUUACCAAC
rnacentral:lncRNA from 1 species